rnacentral:lncRNA from 1 species
UUUGUUUCGAAAUAAUGAUGUAAUUAUAUUGUAUAACUACUCUUAUAAAGGCUUGUGACGUGUAAUACCGAUUUUAGGAAUGGCAAAUUGUUGAGAAAUUUCAUUAUGAGUUAAUAAGUAUCAAUGUUAUUCAGUUAAUGUUAGGCUUACCUAGUUUAGAGACUAGGUGCCAUCACGACUCCUUCGGAGGGAUUUUUUGGUCGUGACAAAAGUAAACUGCAUUCCCGCUGAUACAAGGGUCUGGAGAAAUGCCGGGACUAGAUCCUUCUUCUUGGAAGCCCUAUGGCCAAUCACGGCGAAGAGGUCGUAUCAAUAAACAACAAUGAACAGUCAAAAGCCAAAACAAAAAGAACACUUACCAGAUGGAACUUUCGGCCUAAAGAGUUUGAGGAAGGCAGACCAAUCUCGAGUUCCCACCACAUAUAGCAGUACGCAAGCCACCCAGUCCUCGAUACCGACGACGGGAAAAGGUUCAAGUCUUUCAACU